CCGUCAAUUCAUUUGAGUUUCAUUCUUGCGAACGUACUCCCCAGGUGGAUUACUUAACGCUUUCGCUAAGCCGCUUACGGUGUAUCGCAAACAGCGAGUAAUCAUAGUUUACUGCGUGGACUACCAGGGUAUCUAAUCCUGUUUGAUCCCCACGCCUUCGUGCCUGAGCGUCAGUUAUGGCCUAGUAAGCUGCCUGCGCAAUCGGAGUUCCUCGUGAUAUCUAUGCAUUUCACCGCUACACCACAAAUUCCGCCUACUUCAUCCACACUCAAGAAAACCAGUAUCGAUGGCACUUUUACAGUUGAGCUGCAAAAUUUCACCGCCGACUUAAUCUUCCGCCUGCGCACCCUUUAAACCCAAUAAAUCCGGAUAACGCUUGGAUCCUCCGUAUUACCGCGGC
rnacentral:misc_RNA from 1 species